UUCACCAGCAUUGGAGAGGACUAUGAUGAGCGUGUGCUGCCAUCUAUUACUACAGAGAUCCUCAAGUCGGUGGUGGCUCGCUUUGAUGCUGGAGAGCUAAUCACCCAGAGAGAGCUCGUCUCCAGGCAGGUGAGCGAUGACCUUACGGAGCGAGCAGCAACCUUUGGGCUCAUCCUGGAUGAUGUUUCCUUGACACAUCUGACCUUCGGGAAGGAGUUCACAGAAGCAGUGGAAGCCAAACAGGUGGCUCAACAGGAAGCAGAGAGGGCCAGAUUUGUGGUGGAAAAGGCUGAGCAGCAGAAAAAGGCAGCCAUCAUCUCUGCUGAGGGGGACUCCAAGGCAGCAGAGCUGAUUGCCAACUCACUGGCCACAGCGGGUGAUGGCCUGAUCGAGCUCCGCAAGCUGGAGGCUGCAGAGGACAUUGCAUUCCAGCUGUCGCGCUCUCGGAACAUCACCUACCUGCCAGCAGGGCAGUCUGUGCUCCUCCAGCUGCCCCAGUGAGGGCCUGCCCUGCCUGUACUCCUCAGGCCAACUGGGCCACAGCCCUGAUGAUGAUUAACACCACCUCCCUUCUGCCCCCACCCAGAAAUCACUGUGAAAUCUCAUGAUUGGCUUAAAGUGAAGGAAAUAAAAGUAAAAAUCACUUCAGAUCUCUAAUUAUCAAAUGAAGCUCUUUCAUUCUUCUCACACCCAUCUACUUUUUUAACCACCUCCCUACCAAAAUUGCCAAGUGCCUACACAGACUAGCCUUGGGUCCCAGUUCCAGGCCUGCGGGAGCUCCAUUCUAGGCACUGGCAGUUAGCAGGACAGAGGCAGGACAGGGCAUGUGUGGACCAGGGAGCACAGUUGUCAGCCUGGGCAGAUGUGCAGUGUCCGUGCUAUCUGCUGAAGGUUUGAGGAUGUGGCACACGCAGCUCCACUGAGAAUGCAGCCUCAGUUUUUCCAGCAGUUCCUGCACCGACGCAGCUGAAAAGAGGUGCUGGGGAAUGUCAGAAAGGAAGUGAUCUGUCUCUUUCCAUAAGGCUGAUUCUCUUUAACUGUGCGACCAGCGGAAGCAGGUGUGUUCAAACAGGGCAUGGAUCGAAGAAUCUGCCCUUGUUGAGGUGGGUGGGCCUGAUUGAGCUGCCCCCCAGGGUCCCAAAACUGGGAUGGACUUGGAUAGGGAGAGAGGAGGCCUGGACUGAGAUGUGAGUCUGUCGAAGACUUCCUCUCCACACCCACCUUGGUCCCUCUCAAAUACCCAACGGAAUUCCAGCUUGAAGGAUUGCAUCCUGCUGGGCCAAACAUGCCUGCCAAAGACGUGCGCAUCCUGAGUUCCUGGCUCCCUCGUUCAGAGACUGCCCUUCUCAAGGGCUCUGUGCCUAGGCUUUGAAGGAAACCACCACAGGAAGAAAACAAAUGUAUGUAAACUCCUGUCAAUAAAUGACAUGCAGACCUUCCA